CGCGGUUAUACAAAAUAUACAAAUAAAUUUUUUUAUUUUGUAGUUAAAUUAAUUAUUUUAAAUAAAAAAUUUAUAGAUAAGGUGAAAUUUUUUAUAAAUUAAAAUUUAUUAAUAAAUUGAUUGAAGCUAUUAGAUUUAAUUUAUAAACUAGGAUUAGAUACCCUAUUAUUUUAAAGGUAAAUAAUUAAAUUAGGUAGUAAUAGUUAUAUUCUUGAAACUUAAAAAAUUUGGCGGUAUUUUAAUCUAUUUAGAGGAAUCUGUUCCAUAAUCGAUAGCCCACGAUGAAUUUUACAUAAUUUUAUUUAGUUUGUAUAUCGUCGUUAUAAGAAAAUUUUAUAAGAAAUUAAAUUUUCUAAAAUUUUUAUAAAAAUUUAUUUCAGAUCAAGGUGCAGCUUAUAAUUAUGAGGAAAUGGAUUACAAUAAAUUUAUUUAUUAUGAAUAAUAAAAUGAAUAUUUUAUUUGAAGGUGGAUUUAAUAGUAAAUUAAAUAAUAUAAUUUAAUUGAUUUUAGUUCUAAAAUAUGCACAUAUCGCCCGUCGCUCUCUUUAUUUAAAAAGAGAUAAGUCGUAACAAAGUAGAUGUACUGGAAAGUGUAUCUAGAAUGAUUCA
rnacentral:rRNA from 1 species